rnacentral:rRNA from 1 species
AAGACGGCCCUACGGGUUGUAAACUGCUUUUGCAGGGGAAUAAACCCCCGUAUGUAUACGGGGUUGAAUGUACCUCCUGAGAAUAAGGAUCGGCUAACUCCGGUGC